rnacentral:rRNA from 1 species
GACGAACGCUGGCGGCGUGCUUAACACAUGCAAGUCGAACGGAAAGGCCCUGCUUUUGUGGGGUGCUCGAGUGGCGAACGGGUGAGUAACACGUGAGUAACCUGCCCUUGACUUUGGGAUAACUUCAGGAAACUGGGGCUAAUACCGGAUAGGAGCUCCUGCUGCAUGGUGGGGGUUGGAAAGUUUCGGCGGUUGGGGAUGGACUCGCGGCUUAUCAGCUUGUUGGUGGGGUAGUGGCUUACCAAGGCUUUGACGGGUAGCCGGCCUGAGAGGGUGACCGGCCACAUUGGGACUGAGAUACGGCCCAGACUCCUACGGGAGGCAGAAGUGGGGAAUAUUGCGCAAUGGGGGGAAGCGUGAUGCAGCAGCGCCGCGUGCGGAAUGACGGCCUUCGGGUUGUAAACCGCUUUGGCCUGUGACGAAGAGUGAGUGACGGUAAUGGGUAAAGAAGCACCGGCUAACUACGUG